GUCAGGACUGCAUCAGGCCAGUUCAGCAGCAGGACUCUUCUACCACAGAGCCAUGCUGUUGCAGUAAGCGGUUUGGGAUCAUAUGAAGGUCUUCUGGUCAAGAUGGCAGCAGAUAUUGCUCCUAAAUUUGUAGACAUUGUUCAAAACUGAGGGUGAAGCAUCUAUGUUUUCCAGUUCUUUGUUGAAAGGACAACUGGACUUACAUCUCAAGUAAGUCCAGUUGUCCUUUCCAACAAAGCGUUAGAUUUUGAUUCACCAGACCUCGGGACAGUUCAUGGACAAGUGAUAUGAAGCCAUGCAGUGACUCCAACUACAGAGUCUUAAUGCUACAAAACCUGAAGAUAUUGUUCCGGAUUAAUGGAGUCUUCACAGAUGACCUGAGGCCUCAUUUAUAAAGCUUGCUUACGCACAAAACCUGGC